AGUAAAUAGAUACCCCGGUAGUCCACGCCGUAAACGAUGAGUACUAGGUGUAGGAGGUAUCGACUCCUUCUGUGCCGCAGUUAAACACAAUAAGUACUCCGCCUGGGAGGUACGGUCGCAAGAUUAAAACUCAAAGGAAUUGACGGGGGCCCGCACAAGCAGCGGAGCAUGUGGUUUAAAUUCGAAGCAACGCGAAGAACCUUACCUAGACUUGACAUCUCCUGAAUAGCGUAGAGAUACGUGAAGCCCUUCGGGGCAGGAAGACAGGUGGUGCAUGGUUGUCGUCAGCUCGUGUCGUGAGAUGUUGGGUUAAGUCCCGCAACGAGCGCAACCCUUAUCAUUAGUUGCUACCAUUAAGUUGAGCACUCUAGUGAGACUGCCCGGGUUAACCGGGAGGAAGGCGGGGAUGACGUCAAAUCAUCAUGCCCCUUAUGUCUAGGGCUACACACGUGCUACAAUGGUGAGAACAACGAGAUGCAAUACCGCGAGGUGGAGCCAAACUUGAAAACUCAUCCCAGUUCGGAUUGUAGGCUGAAAUUC
rnacentral:rRNA from 1 species